AUGGGGGCAGGAGCACUGAAGGGCCAGAGUCCAUCCUGUGAAGCUGGGGUUGCUCUGCCCAGCCCCAGCACCGCCAUGCGAGACUCUCCUGUCCCUGGAGGCCUCCUGAACCUACAACAGGGCCUCGUAUCACUUCUUCAACUUCAUGGGAUCCUCUUUCCACAAUCUGAAAUUUCACGGAUGCCAAAAUCUGCCUCGUUUUCAAGUCAGAUGUUCACAACUCGCCGUAAUUCCAGAGGUCGAGGGACAGAGAAGUGGCCACAGCAGGUGGGAUCCAGGCAUUCCCACCAAGGAGGGAACAGCACUGGACAGGAGCCUACAUUAGGAAGGAACUGAUGGUCCAUCAGUGAGACGCUCAUGGUACGAGGAGCUUUGACUUCCUGAGCAACCUCAGAGCCGGGGGCAAGGGAGGAGGCGGGAUUUCAAUAAGGAAUUAUUUUGUGUCUUCGUCUAACCAAGCUACUGGAACAAAGUACCAUAGGCUGGGGGAUUAUAAACCACAGACAUUUACUCCUCACAGUCCUGAAGGCUGGAAGACCAGGAUCAAAUCACCAACAGACUCAGUGUCUGGAGAGGCCCUACGUCCUUGUUCACAGAUGACAUGUCCCUUCUGUUGUCCCCACACAACGGAAGUGAGGGGUCUGUGGGGUCUUUUUGUAAGGGCAGUGAUCUCCUAGGAGGACCCAUGACCUCAUCACCUCCCAAACGCCCACCUCCUAACACUGUCACCUUGGGGGUGAGGAUUCAACAUGAAUUUGGUGGGACGUGGGGAGGGGAUGAGACAAGCAUUCAGUUUAGUGCAUUUGGAUAGCAAGAACCCACCUCUCGCAAACACCGCUGAUUGAAAACCAGAAGAGAGAAAACUCAAAUUGGACGAAGAACAUAUUCAAGAAUUUCAAGUUUUGAAAUGAUUCAGCAGAGUGCCGGAAACAAUGGGUGGGCUCCGGACCUGCCACUUUGCAGCAAUAAUUCAUCGCUUGGGUCCAGCGUUAGAAGCAGGUCUUGGUGCUCAGAAGAGACUGUGCGGGAAGCUGUGCUGCCCUGGACACGGCCCCACCACCCAACCCCGGGCCCUGCAGUCCCAGAAUAUCAGCCACGACUCAAUGCCUCCUGCCUGGGUUUCUCUGUGCACUUUCAGGCAUGUUGAAGUCAGGCCAUUAACAGUUUUACCACAGGUCGACAGGGAGUCCCCCUCGGCUUAGCAGGUGUGGAGCUCUCUCUGGGGCUGGCCCGCUGGAGACAGAAGCAGCUAUGGAGAUGAAAUGAAGUCCCAACGCCUGGCCUGCGUCAGGUUGAGAAUCUCCCACUUUCCCUUUCUCCCUCCCUAGCAGCCUCCUAAGGGGACCGCACUUGCUCAAGUAUCUUCCGGGGCCGUUUUCCUAUUCAUCUCAGACUUGUCAAAAUGUUCACGCAGCUUCCAAAGCCUUUUACAGCCUGUCAAAUAUGUAACUGGAUUUGAGUCCCACUGUUUGGUUAAUGGUUCCUCAGCCUCUCCCAUCCCCUGAGGAUUUUUUUAUUUAACUUCUGAAAUAAUCGGUGGAAUUUGAAUCCUUUCAAGUGACACGAUGUAGUUUUUCCUCUAAUUAUCCUGGAGGAAAGUGAAGUGGUUUUUGAGAGCGUGGAUGGGGACCUGGGCAGGAGGGACCCCCGCCUGGAGGCGAGCGCCCUCCCCAGAGCCUCCCGCGGCUCAGUCACUGAGGCCAGGUGUUGUGACCGCACACGUCGGUGCCAGACGCACGAGAGGCGUCUCGGGAGGGGCCGUCGUGCAAUUGUUCACGAUAGUUGCAUCCCUAAUGGAAGCAGAAACCUCUCCAGACCAACUUUGCAUGCAGACAAGUGCUGACCAGAGCUGGUUUAUCAAAAGGGACUUCCUCCCUCACUCAGGAAAGGGGGCUUUGGCUGGGGAGGGGGGUUGUUCAGAGAGGUGCUAGGCUGUGCUCACGUCACAGAAAAGCCUCCUCCCCGGCCGAGGAAACCCCAAGCCCAGACCUUGUGCCCCUGCCCCCUGCCCCCUGCCACCUCACCAGCAGAGCUGGCUCAGGACCCCUGAGAUCCAGAGCGAGGUGGGGCUCCAGAAUGGCAGGUCCCUGGCCUGCCUUUCUAGGGCAAAGUUGCCAUAGAAACGCUACAGGUUUCAUGGAGGAUUCCCCAGCUGUUUAAUUUUAAGCUGGGAAUCACCAGUAGGUACCGAAGUAAAAUAACCUUCUACUUAAAAAGGGCUCUGCUGCCGUUCACAACUCAGGGAACAUUCUUUGAAAGGCAAGCCUUGGGGAAAAGCUGAGACAGGAACCCUUCAAUGUGUUAAUUCAGUCUGAGAGUGAGAGGUGGGGAAGAAAGCAGUGAGUCGCAUGUGGAGGAGAAGCUGCUGGAAGAAAGCAGUGAGUCGCACAUGGAGGAGAAGCUGCUGGAAGAAAGCAGUGAGUCACAGGUGGAGGAGAAGCUGCUGUGUCUACAGUCAGAGCUGAGCAGACAAGGCCAGCACUUUCCCAGGACCCUCCUGUGCAGACCCCCACAGCCCCCACCACAGGAACGUGUGCUGCAGCCUUUGGGGGUGUUCAGGUGACCACCGGGCUUCUGUGCCACAAAUGCCCACGCCAGGAAAAUUCGCUGAAACGUGAGACUUGACACUCACCACACCAACUUUAUAUCCAACAAGGUCUGCGAUGAUUCAUUUACUCUUCUGCCAAAGAUUUGCUGAGGAUCAGGAAUGGCCGGAACUCGAAAAGGCCCUGGGGGACACGCACUGCCCCCUGGAAUCAUGGUGGGGGAAGGGGGCAGGGUGCCCAGUGCCCACCACCAAUCUAGAAGGCCCAGAGAGUGGGGAUGGGAGAGCGGGUUCCAUGAAGGUCCAGGAUGCAGGGGUGAGGUGUGGCCCAUGGUGAGUCCCGAAUGUCCUGUGGGGACUGAUGGGAGCAGGGGCCUCGGCCGGAUGAGAUGACCUUCGGUCAGUUUGCCAGGGCGGCCUCAGUGGACACCUAUUGCCUUGUUCUCAGAAGUGGCCUAGUUUAGCUGGGCGCGGUGACUCACGCCUGUAAUCCCAGCACUUUGGGAGGCUGAAGUGGGCAGAUCAUCUGAGGUCGGGAGUUCGAGACCAGCCUGGCCAACAUGGUGAAACCCCGUCUGUACUAAAAGUACAAAAAAUUAGCCGGACAUGGUAGCAGACACCUGUAAUCCCAGCUGUUCAGGAGGCUGAGGCAGGAGAAUCGCUUGAACCCAGGAGGCGGAGGUUGCAGUGAGCUGAGAGCACACCACUACUGCACUCAAGCAUGGGAGAGAGAGAGAGAAAAAAGAAGAAGAAGAAGAAGUGGCCUAGUUUGGAUGAGAAGGUAUGCCAUUGCCUUGGUCAUAGGGAAUGAGUGUUGGCAGUGUAUAAUUAUCCAGAUAAUUUAUUCUCUGAAAAGAACGAAUUAUUUACAUACAAAUAACAGAAUUUAACAAUUUAAAGCUGGAUUUUUUUUUCACCUUAAUAGUGGCCAGAACCAAAUUUUAACAGUAGAAUUCUAAGAUGAAAUAGGCUUUUUAUUCAAGCAGUACCCCAUGGUUUUUUUUUGCAUUUUAAAACCAGCUUUACUUAGGUGAGGCAGACAUGCAAUAACAUAUAUUUAAAGGAUACACUUUCCUAAGCACUGACGUAUACGCGGACCUGAGACAGCAUCUCCAUAAUCCAGAGAAUGAAUCUGCCCAUUGCUCCCAAAAUCUCCUGUGCUCCUUCCUCCUGGACCACCUGCUCCUGCCACACCCCACCUGCUCUCCAUCACUGCACAUUAGUGCCCGUUUACCAGAAUCUUAUAGAAAUGGAAUCGUACAACAUAGCAUCUGUUUUGUGGGGAUACUUCCACAUGGCUUUGUUAUCUUGGGAUUCACCCAUGUUGUUACAUGAUCGAUGUAAUGAUCAAUUAUCAAAAAAUGAUCAAUGCUCCAUUCAUUCUCCUGCUGAAUAGUAAUCCAUUCUGCAGAUUAUCUAAAGUUUAUUCAGCCAUUCAUCUGUUGAUGGCCUUUAAAUUGUUUGCAGUUUGAGCUAUGACAAAUAAAACUAUUAUGUCUAUUCAUAUUCAAGUCUUUUCAUGGAGCUAUGAUGUCAGGUUUUUUUUGUUUGUUUGUUUGUUUGUUUGUUUUUUGAAAUAGAGUCUUACUGUGCUGUCCAGGCUGGAGUGCAUUGGCACGAUCUCGGCUCGCUGCAACCUCCGCCUCUUGGAUUCAAGUGAUUCUCCUGCCUCAACCUGCCUAGUAGCUGGGAUUACAGGUGCCCACCACCAUGCCUGGCUAAUUUUUGUAUUUUUAGUAGAGACAGGGUUUCACCAUGUUGGUCAGGCUGGUCUCAAACUCAUGACCUCAAGUGAUCCACCCACCUCGGCCUCCCAAAGUGCUGGAACUCCAGGUGUAAGCCACCGUUUCUGGCUGAUGUCAUUUCUUUUAAAUAAUUCCCCAGGAGCCAAGUAUCUGGACCCUAGGGUAGGCAUGCAUUUAACUUGUAAGUAAUUGCCAGUUUUCCAGUCGAUGUACAUUUAUCAGUCUUAGAUCCUGCAACCUUUUAAAACUCACUUAUCACUUUACUGAUUCAUUCUAGAAGGCUUUUUGUAGAUUCUGUCAGAUUUUCUACUUAGAUGACCAUGUUUUCUGUGAAUGAAGACAGUUUGCUUGCUUUUAACAAAUCACAUGCCUUUCAUUUCUUUUUCUUUUCUUCUUACACUGGCUGAAAUCUUUAACACAAAGUUCAGCCAAAGUGGUGAGAACAGAAACCCUCUGUUUCUCCCCAUCUUGCAGGAAAGGGACUCACUCCUUCCCCUUCUGCUUUGGCAUUAGCUGUCAGCAUUCCAAG
ensembl:lncRNA